GGAGCGGUGCGGCACGGUGCUGUCCGUCCGCAGGGCUUUCAAGUCAGCGGCAGCGGGGAGGUGAUCGGCCCUCUGUACCGGUGAGGCCGCACCUCCGCUGCCGUGUUCGCUUCUGGGCCCCUCACUACCAGAAAGACGUGGAGAUCCUGGAGUGCGUCCAGAGCUGUGAGGGGUUGGAGCACAAGUCUGAUGGGGAGCAGCUGAGGGGACUGGCGUUGUUCAGGCUGGAGAAGAGGAGCUCAGGGGAGCUCUCUGCAACCUGAAGGGAAGUUGCAGCGAGCUCAUUACAGGAAGCAAAUCUGCAGAUGAAAACACAUGAAAUAGAACCAGAUCCCGCCAGAGCAUCAAACAUGAAAUAUGCCAGCGCCGCUCCACAGACAGCAUAAUCAAUGCCCUUCUUCCCACAGCAAAACCACCGAAAUUCUUUGUUCCUGCACAGAGUUGUCCCAAAUCUACAGUUCAUCACUUCAUCUGGCAAAUGAGAUACCCCCACAGAAGCCAUGUGAGUGAAACCAACUAAUUGCCAUCUGAGAACGGGUGCAUACAGACAGACAAUAAAGCAGAGGAACACAUACUCAUCAUUAGCAAAAUGUGCUGGAAAAUAACAACCCAGGCCCCUCAGUCCUUAUCCCAAAGGAGACCAGCAGAAGACUUCCAGAAAAUAAACCUUGACCCUGUCUUUGCUUGUGGUCCAGCAGAGAGCCGUCAGCUUGUCACUCACUCCUGCUCACACGCCUCUGUGCUCCAUAGGUGUUCCUUUUUUUUUUUCUCUCAAGUGGUCAAAUUGAUUAAUAUAAUUAGAUUAAACUAAGAGCAAUUGCAUCUAGCCUGUAGUUAGCCUGAAUUUUGCUGCUUUCUGUCAGAUCUGAUAAAGAGACCCUGAACCCAGUAGCUUGUUUGCUUUUUCCAGCCAUAUCAGCUAAUCUAAUAAAAGAUAUUACCUUUCUCCACAAACCUGGCUUCCCUGGGAUCUUCAGACCAUCACAGCUACAACAACAACACUGUCUCGCCUUCUCCAACUGAUUCUUCCAGAUUCUCUUAUCUAUGAAAUAGAAUAUGAUAAAAUGUAUUUUGUGUAUCGA